rnacentral:rRNA from 1 species
AGCGACUUAUAUUCUGUAGCAAGGUUAACCGUAUAGGGGAGCCGUAGGGAAACCGAGUCUUAACCGGGCGUUAAGUUGCAGGGUAUAGACCCGAAACCCGGUGAUCUAGCCAUGGGCAGGUUGAAGGUUGGGUAACACUAACUGGAGGACCGAACCGACUAAUGUUGAAAAAUUAGCGGAUGACCUGUGGCUGGGGGUGAAAGGCCAAUCAAACCGGGAGAUAGCUGGUUCUCCCCGAAAGCUAUUUAGGUAGCGCCUCGUGAAUUCAUCUCCGGGGGUAGAGCACUGUUUCGGCUAGGGGGCCAUCCCGGCUUACCAACCCGAUGCAAACUGCGAAUACCGGAGAAUGUUAUCACGGGAGACACACGGCGGGUGCUAACGUCCGUCGUGAAGAGGGAAACAACCCAGACCGCCAGCUAAGGUCCCAAAGUCAUGGUUAAGUGGGAAACGAUGUGGGAAGGCCCAGACAGCCAGGAUGUUGGCUUAGAAGCAGCCAUCAUUUAAAGAAAGCGUAAUAGCUCACUGGUCGAGUCGGCCUGCGCGGAAGAUGUAACGGGGCUAAACCAUGCACCGAAGCUGCGGCAGCGAACGUAUCACCCAAGACAACUUUACGGAGUUGACGAUUGACGGAGCGAAGCGACGUCAAAGCGUUCAUUAAAGUCGAGUUGGCUUAGGGAUACGUUCGUUGGGUAGGGGAGCGUUCUGUAAGCCUGUGAAGGUGUGUCGUGAGGC